AGUGAACGCUGGCGGUAGGCCUAACACAUGCAAGUCGAACGGCAGCACAGGAGAGCUUGCUCUCUGGGUGGCGAGUGGCGGACGGGCGAGGAAUACAUCGGAAUCUACUCUGUCGUGGGGGAUAACGUAGGGAAACUUACGCUAAUACCGCAUACGACCUACGGGUGAAAGCAGGGGACCUUCGGGCCUUGCGCGAUUGAAUGAGCCGAUGUCGGAUUAGCUAGUUGGCGGGGUAAAGGCCCACCAAGGCGACGAUCCGUAGCUGGUCUGAGAGGAUGAUCAGCCGCACUGGAACUGAGACACGGUCCAGACUCCUACGGGAGGCAGCAGUGGGGAAUAUUGGACAAUGGGCGCAAGCCUGAUCCAGCCAUACCGCGUGGGUGAAGAAGGCCUUCGGGUUGUAAAGCCCUUUUGUUGGGAAAGAAAUCCAGCUGGCUAAUACCCGGCUGGGAUGACGGUACCCAAAGAAUAAGCACCGGCUAACUUCGUGCCAGCCGCCGCCGUAA
rnacentral:rRNA from 1 species